rnacentral:lncRNA from 1 species
AUGGCACAAAUACUCUUCCCUUUAGGCUCUGUGAAUGUGUGUGUGUGUGUGUGUGUGUGUGUGUAUCAAUAUUUCUCCCAUUUUAAAGUAUUACUCCUCCAUAAUUGGAUUUCUCUUAAAUCAAAGUACUUUUACUACAUCUUAGUACUUCUGCUCAUCAUAGUAUUUCUGCUAAAUCAUAGUAUUUUUGCCAAAUCAUGGUUUUUGUGCCAAAUCAUCAGAAUCGUGUUUAUUGGCCAAGUAUAUGUGCAGACAAAUACAAGGAAUUUCGUUCCGGUAGAUGGUGGCUCUCGAGCACAGCAAUGUAAAUCACACACACACACACACACACACACACACACACACACACACACACGUAUCUAUAUAUACAUUACACAUGCAUACACAUACAUACACAAAGCUGUGUAAACCAACUAUAAAUAACUAAUCUAAACGUAUAUACAUAAAAUACAGAAAUGAAAUGAGGUGGAAUGAAUACUACAGAAUGUACAUAAGGUGCAGUUGCAGUCUGGCAGUGGGAGCAGUGUGACAG